UGGUCCUGGCCUUGAGAUCAAUUAUUACUUAGUAUACACAUGCAAGUCUCCGCACCCCUGUGAAAACGCCCUUAAAUCCACCUUAGGGAUAAGGAGCCGGUAUCAGGCACAACUAAACUGCCCAAAACACCUAGCUACGCCACACCCACAAGGGACCUCAGCAGUGAUUAACAUUGAGCAUAAGCGACAGCUUGACUCAGUUAAAGUAAAUAGAGCCGGCAAAUCUGGUGCCAGCCGCCGCGGUUACACCACGUGGCUCAAAUUGACCUUUAUCGGCGUAAAGCGUGAUUAAAGUUCCACCCCCAUUAGAGUCAAACUAAAAUUAAGCUGUGACACGCUUGUAUUUAAGAAGCCCAUAAACGAAAGUUACUCCAACUCAACCAACUUGAACUCACGACAGCUAAAACACAAACUGGGAUUAGAUACCCCACUAUGCUUAGCCAUAAACUUUAAAUUACACCUUCUAUCGCCAGGGAACUACAAGCAAAGCUUAAAACCCAAAGGACUUGACGGUACCCCACAUCCACCUAGAGGAGCCUGUCCUAUAAUCGAUACCCCCCGCUAAACCUCACCACUUCUCGCCCACUCAGCCUGUAUACCUCCGUCGUCAGCUUACCACGUGAGCGCAACUCAGUGAGCUCAAUGCCCAUACGCCAAUACGUCAGGUCAAGGUGCAGCAAACGAGGUGGGAAGAGAUGGGCUACACUCUCUAACAUAGAAAACACAGAAGAUUACCUAUGAAACCUAAUCCAAAGGCGGAUUUAGAAGUAAAAAGAAAAAAGAAUGUUCUUUUUAACUCGGCACUGGGGUGUGUACACACCGCCCGUCACCCUCUUCWUAAGCCACCAAAAAGUAAAUAACUAAACACAGCACGACAGAAGAGGCAAGUCGUAACAUGGUAAGUAUACCGGAA
rnacentral:ncRNA from 1 species